rnacentral:rRNA from 1 species
CGGGGGGAGCAAGCGUUGUUCGGAUUUACUGGGCGUAAAGGGCGCGUAGGCGGCCACCGCAAGUCAAUUGUGAAAUCUCCGGGCUUAACUCGGAAAGGUCAACUGAUACUGCGGGGCUAGAGUGCAGAAGGGGCAACUGGAAUUCUCGGUGUAGCGGUGAAAUGCGUAGAUAUCGAGAGGAACACCUGCGGCGAAGGCGGGUUGCUGGGCUGACACUGACGCUGAGGCGCGAAAGCUAGGGGAGCGAACGGGAUUAGAUACCCCGGUAGUCCUAGCCUUAAACGAUGAAUGCUUGGUGUCUGGGGGUUAUAAAGUCCCCGGGUGCCGUCGCUAACGCUUUAAGCAUUCCGCCUGGGGGAGUACGGUCGCAAGACUG